rnacentral:rRNA from 1 species
AUACGGAGGGUGCAAGCGUUGUUCGGAAUUACUGGGCGUAAAGCGAGUGUAGGCGGCUUCGUUAGUCGGAUGUGAAAUCCCAGGGCCCAACCCUGGAACUGCAUCCGAUACUGCGAAGCUAGAGUCCUGGAGAGGAUGGCGGAAUUCCGGGUGUAGAGGUGAAAUUCGUAGAUAUCCGGAGGAACACCAGUGGCGAAGGCGGCCAUCUGGACAGUGACUGACGCUGAGAUUCGAAAGUGUGGGGAGCAAACAGGAUUAGAUACCCUGGUAGUCC